rnacentral:hammerhead_ribozyme from 1 species
GUCCAGCUGGCGAGUCCUAAAUAGGACGAAACGCAAGUCCCGGGU